GGGUAACCUGCCUGUAAGAGCGGGAUAACUCCGGGAGACCGGGGCUAAUACCGGAGAAUAAUUUAUUCGCAUGAGGAGAUGUUGAAAGGUGGCUUCUAGCUACCACUUACAGAUGGACUCGCGGCGCAUUAGCUAGCCGGUGAGGUAACGGCUCACCAAGGCCACGAUGCGUAGCCAAGCUGAGAGGGUGAUCGGCCACACUGGGACUGAGACACGGCCCAGACUCCUACGG
rnacentral:rRNA from 1 species